rnacentral:lncRNA from 11 species
CGGCAGCCUCAGCAUCAGCGGGAGAAACAGAGGAGCCCUGCGGAUUAUCAGCCGCCGCGCCCUCCGAUUGGCCGACCCACCUGUCCUUCUUCCCUCUCAUCACUUUCGCCGGGCAGGGGGAGGAGGAGGAGGAGGGUAGCCGUCCCCGUUGCCGUGGCUACCACCGAUGGUCCCUCCCCGGCUCAAGCGCUGCUAUUUCGGGCAGCAGCAGCAGCAGCACCGCCACUGCCACCAAGGUUGCUUCUCUUAACCUCUCCCUCUCUCUCUCCUCUCCUCUUUGCAAGCUCUGCUUGGCCGAGGGUGGCUGGCAGGUAGGCAACUCCAGACGGCGGGGGAUUGGGGCAAGUCAGAACAGAGCUGGCGACUGGAGCAGCCCCAGAGCAGGACAAAUUGAGGCAACCUCUGGGGGCCCUGCGAAGCCCCCCUGUUGGUUGUGGGGGGCUAAGCUUGGGCCCCCGCAGUGAGAUCCCUGGCUGUGCUGACUGUGAGGCAGUCAUGGGGGGUGCCGGCCCCCAUGUCCACGAUUGGGGAUCAGAACGGAUAGAGCCCUGUGGCAUCAGCUGCAGUACACGGCAAAGUCCCCAGGUGACAUGUGAAGCUCGGAUCCCCUCAGCAGAGACCACCCCAGCUGCAGGAGUGAAUGUCGUAGUAGUGGUAGACGGGAACUGCAUCCUCCAAUACACCCAUCGUCAAUCACCUUGCUCCUGCCUUUCCGAUGGGGAGCCUCUCUUGCCCCGACACCCUCCACCAACUUAUGGGGCUGUGCCCCCCAGCCCCACUAUCCCCCGAGGACCAGCUUGUGGGCAAGAAGCCGGACCGCCCCCGUCCCGCAGGACUCGUGGACUCAGUGUCCGCUGUUGCACCAAAGCCUGCCUGGGGGACGAAGAGGAACACACUGACCGGCAUCUCCAUCGAGGGCCACCUUGCAGCCGUCUCACCCCAGUGCCCUUGCCCCGCAGCCCCUCCGGGCCAUGGUUUGGAGUGGGAUCACUCAGCGGGGGGCGGCCAGGAGCUCGUGUUGUGAAGAUCUGGGACCGGCAGCGAUGCCCUUUGCUGGAGGAAGGGGAUAUCAUCGCCAAGGUGAACGGAGCUGAUGUCCGAGACUUGAGUCCUGGAGAAGUGGAGAGUGUCUUGCAGGAGCACACGCGGACCGGUGACGUGAUCCUUCUGGUGGAGAGGAAAGGUCAUCACUCCAGGAGACAUACCCAGGAAAAUUGCACAUUUCCACGGGAAAACUUCUUGCCUGAUUCCUCUCACAAUAAGAGAGUUUCCCGGGAUGCUCCUAACCCCUGGGGAGGUCCCUCAGGAGACACUUUAGCUGUGACCAGUUUUGUGGGUCCCGAGCCCCGUGAUGUACUUGUGUGUCCUGCACAUUGUUCCCAGAGACCAAGGAGGCCCCGGCCAGCAGGAGGUGCUGGGGACCCCAUAGGAAGUGUGGAUGGUCCCCGAGAAGAGUACGGAUGCAGCAGCAGCACAGCCAUAGCAACAGAUGGAGGUGGAAUUAGCAAAGGAGGUGAGGAUGUGUUGAAGGCCCAUACGAGAAGUGAAGGGAACAAUCUGUGUCCGGCUCAGCAGCAGUUCUAGGUUUUGCACAGUGAUGUGCUUUGAAAAGAUUUCUUAUGUUUGCUUAGCAUGCCUUAAAGUAUAGUUUGUUGCCAUAACUGAUUUUAUACAGGUUUUAAAAACUGGUUUUGGUUUGUGUCUACUGCAAAACCCUGUCUUACGCAAUAGCUUAAAAGCAGUUUUCUGAAACUCUAAAAUAAUUUAAAGUAGCCAAUUGAUUGUAACGUGGCACCUAAAAAGUCAAUGUGAUUCUAGGCUGCAUCAGUAGGAGUUUGGUGUCCAUACUGAGGGAAGUAAAAGUACCACUCUAUUCUGCUUUGGUCAGACUUCACUUGGAAGACUUGUGUCCAGUUCUAGGCAUCACAAUUUGAGAACAACAUGGAAACCCGAAAAGUGUCCAAAGAAGGGCAAUCAAAAUGGUAAAAAGAUUUGGACGCCAAGCCCUGUGAGCAGCACCUUAGG